rnacentral:rRNA from 1 species
UACAGAGGGGGCUAGCGUUAUUCGGAAUUAUUGGGCGUAAAGGGCGCGUAGGCGGCCAUGCGUGUCUUCCGUGAAAUCCCUCGGCUUAACUGAGGACGUGCGGAAGAAACUGCAAGGCUCGAGUCCGGGAGAGGGGGGUGGAAUUCCCAGUGUAGCGGUGAAAUGCGUAGAUAUUGGGAGGAACACCGGUGGCGAAGGCGGCCCCCUGGACCGGAACUGACGCUGAGGCGCGAAGGUCAGGGGAGCAAACGGG